UCAUUUAAUUUCUUGUUAUCUCGUUAGGUUCUUGAAUCAUUCCACACCAACCUGCAGUACCUUAUUGACUCUGUUUAUAGUCCAUUCUUUGAUUUCACUCUUACUUACAAUGGACAUCCAGUUAUCUUUUUAUUUGGUGGUGGACUUACUGUUGACCUCUUCAAAGAUCUUCUGAAGCAACCACUGAAGCUGCCCGGAAAUCUGAAGAGUCCUAUUUGGAUUGGAAAUUAUUUAAAUACGGGAUCAUCAGCCUCUCUGAGGAGACAGUGGUCAGUUUUGCUGAAUGGAACGUUUGCUUGGGUCAGCCACUCACAUAACACAAAUACAUCGUUCUUACCUCAGUGGGAUACGUACACCCUUCCAAGUGAUGCUGCCUCGUACCAGAAAAAUGUAUCUGAAUUGGCUCUCACAAUGCUCCAAAAUCACUCCUGGUGUUGGUGGGCACUGUCUGUUAACCCGGGGGAGGACAACAGGGGCUGUGCGGGCUGGGGACAGACGCUCAAGUUUAUCCCGAGGGUAUGGUUUAAGACGAACACCUAUGAAAUUCAAUGGAGGUUUAACGUAGAAAGUUCCCCCGACGUCAUCCUGAUAGUGACAUUUAAUGACUUUAGUGAAGCCACCGUGAUCUUACCCACCAGGAAAUAUGGAUUCCAGGCCAUGAAGAGCACCGCAAAGUAUGCUAGUUUGUGGAAAGGGCAGCCGGUGAGUGUCAGGUGGCUCUCGCAACCUUCCGAGUGGUUUUUGAUGAAGAAAGAUGUUGAUUUCUUGGCAAAAACACAGCAACUAAAUGGUCUGUUAAUGUUUUAGUUACCCUCAUGUGUGAGAAGGCUGUGCGAUUUAGUUUCUAAUUGAACGUUUAAAAUUCCAUGAUAACAAUAUUCAUUGCUUUUAUUUUACUUACUUUUUAUAAACUACUACAUUGUAUUGCGAGUUUUAUAGGCAUCACUUUCUCUAAUUAGCUUAAAAAUGACUAAACUGUUUCAAGCCUGUGUACACUUUCCUGUUAACAUUAGCAGCAGCUGUGAUAAGGUACUUUUUUUUAGUUUGGUAUCUUUAUUGUACAGAUUGAUCUUGUUUAUCUACAAGGACAAGAAUCAUUUACAUAAACAUAUUGUUUUAGUUACAGAAUUAUAUCUGUAUUUGGAAGCAACCAUGAAACUGAUGCUAGAUGGAUGUUUCAAUAAUGCUAGAAACUUCCUGAAAUUUGUAAGCAACUACUUUUCAUAACUCCAUAAAGUUCGAUAAUUUUGUCUAGGGCGAGAAUCACCAAUAUCAAAGAGAAACAAAAGAUCAAACGUUUUAAGGCUUCACUUCCAAGUCCUCAGCUUUAUUUUGUGAAAUCUCCAACAGUUUUUCACCAUGGUUAUUUAACUGAUGACUUUCAUAAGCUCUACAU